rnacentral:tRNA from 1 species
UCCCCGGUCGUCUAACGGCAGGACAGCGGACUCUGAAUCCGCGAAUCUUGGUUCGAAUCCAAGCUGGGGAA